CAGAGUUCAUGCCCUUACGGGUAGAUCUCCCACCCUUGAAUACAUUACCUCUGUUGCUUUGGCGGGCCGCUUCGUCCACCAGCUUUAGCUGGUGAGUGCCCGCCAAAGGACCUAAAACUCUGAAUUAUAGUGUCGUCUGAGUACUAUAUAAUAGUUA
rnacentral:misc_RNA from 1 species